rnacentral:tRNA from 2 species
AGUUCUUUAGUAUAAAUAAGUACCUCUGGUUUACACUCAGAAAGAUCAAUAAUUUGGAAGAACUU